UUGUGCCCAGAGUUUGAUUUUCCACAGACCAGGUAGAGGCCAAGAGCCUCUCACAGACUCUGCAGCAGGGUUGCUAUGAUUAACUCUUAAGUACUCCACAACUACACGCUUUUGAAACUGGCGUUGGCAUAGCGUUAGUUCUGUGCAGGGCGGACGCAGCAGGACAGAAUCUCCCUGGGCAUCUUUUCGGAGCAUCAAUUUUACUGCAAAAUUUUGAAAAAACAAAUUUAAUUGAUUUCCAAGGUUUGUCAAGGAGGACAGAAACUCAGAGCACCCUGCACUUGGGGAUCGGCACUAGGAGCUGCUCUCUGGAUGGGGAGAUGGGAGCUAGCAGCUCACAAUGGGGUCACAAGACAGGAGUGUUAUUGGGAGAAUCCUGUUUUGUUGACAAAUACUGAGAUCAUCCAACUCACCAGGCAAAGUUGACUUGUGUAAGUGAUCUUCAGAUAUGAAAAGUGUGGAACCCAGCUGCUCCUCCUCAGAUAGGCGACAUGACAAUUGUAGGCCUGGAGGGAGAUGAGUUGACAACAUCCCUUCCCUAUAACCACUUGUUGGAUCUGAUCUCACAUACACAGACUCACUCCAAAGACUGACCUGGGUGUCUGCUUCUCAGCUUCAUUAACAGUGGGUGCUCACAAGUCUAGUGGAGAGAAUGUCUGAGAAGAGGAGGACCUUGACUGCUCCUGAACCGGAGACCUCAGAACCAUGGUGCUCUCCUGUCCAGGCUGAACACUAAUGCUCUUGAGAGUCACAUUGAAGAAAGCCAACAUUUUUAAAUCUAAUGGAUACAUUCAUUUUGUGGUAUGUGAUGUUUAGAAAGAGGGAGCUAAAGUUAGUGGUCAUGAGCUAAAUACCCUGUGAGUGCUGGAGGCUGAGAACUUCAAGAUCAAAGUACUGGAAGAUUUACUGUCUGUAGUAACAGGAUCUUCUACACUGUAGCUGCUUCCAGUGUGAGCCAGACAAAUGUACUGAAUAUAGGCCUCAGAGGUGAUCCCACCACCUUCACAGCAAUGGUCCUUCCCCAGGAGCUUCCCCUGAGAAACGGGCCAUCCAGACCAUACUGCUGCUGAAUAAUGUCUCAUUGGAAAUCUCAACAUUCUUCAUUUAGAACACCACCGCCAAUAUCUACCAUAUGCCGGGAUUAUUGUGCAGG
rnacentral:lncRNA from 1 species